rnacentral:rRNA from 1 species
GAAGGUGGCUAGCGUUGUUCGGUGUCACUGGGCUUAAAGCGUAUGUAGGCGGAAGAGUAAGCGUUUCGUGAAAUCCCUCGGGCUUAACCGAGGGAAUUGCUUGACGAACUGCUUUUCUUGAGGCAAGUAGGGGUGCAUGGAACUCUUGGUGGAGCGGUGGAAUGCGUAGAUAUCAAGAGGAACGCCAAUGGAGAAAUCAGUGCACUGGGCUUGUCCUGACGCUCAGAUACGAAAGCGUGGGGAGCGAACGGGAUUAGAUACCCCGGUAGUCCACGCUGUAAACGAUGUCUACUAGGUUGUGGGAGUUCUGACACUGUCGCGACCGAAGCAAAAGUGUUAAGUAGACCGCCUGGGGAGUACGGUCGCAAAGGCUAA